UGUCGGGGCUAGGACUAAUCCCGGACUGAGGGGUCCCCUUCCGACGCAGACGGGACAAAGAAAUUAGCGGUGAACAGGAAGAAGGAAAGAAGGACUGCAUAGUCACCAGCCUUGUUUGAGGAUUAUGUCAAAGGUCUGUGUGAAUGUGAGGCCAGGACCAAAUGUCAACAACCAAAGACCAACAACCAUGGGAGAUGAAGAAACUGAGGCCUGGAGAGAAUAAGGAGCUGCCAGUGUCACACAACUACAGAGAGAGAGAGAGCUGGGCUCUCCUGCUUUCCACUGGUACCUCCUUUUUGAAAAAUUAUUUAUUUAUUUAUUUUUGACCGUGUCGGGUCUUUGUUACUGUGCGCGGGCUUUCUCUAGUUGCGGUGAGCAGGGGCUACUCUUCGUUGCGGUGCGCGGGCCUCUCGUUGUCGUGACUUCUCCUGUUGCAGAGCACGGGCUCUAGGCGCAGAGGCUUCAGUAGUUGUGGCAUGUGGGCUCAGUAGUUGUGGCUUGCGGGCUCUAGAGCUCAGGCUCAGUAGUUGUGGCACACUGGCCUAGUUGCUCCGCGGCAUGUGGGAUCUUCCUGGGCCAGGGCUCGAACUUGUGUCCCUUGCACUGGCAGGCAGAUUCUUAACCGCUGCAUCACCAGGGAGGCCCUCCACUGGUACCUCCUUUUGAUCAGCUCCAGUUUUGUCCUCAGGGAAGGAAGAUUUCAGGAAGGUGGGGACCUGGGCUGCCUUCUUUGGGGACAGACGUCUGGGUCAGUGGACACAUUCAGGACUUAGAGCCAAGAGGCCAGCUUGGCCCUGGGCUUCCAGUCUCAAGACUACCAUUUUCUGUCUCUGUUACCCUGGGCAGGUCCCCUUCCUUCUGAGUCCCACUCCCAAUGGGAAUAAUUGAGCCUCCUGCUGACCUCAUGGGGUUGCUGUGCGAUCAGAUGAGAUCACAAAUGUGAAAGUGCUUUGUAGGCUGUAAAGUGAUGUGCACUCAGAAGGUGGUUACCAGCCUGGUGCCUCUCCCUUGCCCUUAUUCUACUCAAUGCUUGUCAUUCUCUAAAAAGAAAAGGAACCACCAGCAGUUUACCAGAAUGAUAAAUAUAUGGGUGUGUGUGGG